GGCGACCAUAGAUGUAAAAAAUAUCUAAGAGUUUAAAAAAAUUGCAUGUGUUUGCAAUUAAGAUUAUGAUCACAAUCUAAAACAAAAUUAUUUUUCAAGAAAAUUUUUAUGUCACAUAGAAAAAUAAUGAAUCCAAAAAAGGCAACAUGUAGAAUUAAUUGAUAAUCAUAGAUGCAUAAUAAGAGAAGCAUGCAGUCAUAUCAAAACAUCACAAGCAUGAUAAUCAAAAGAUGAAAACAAACAAAUCAUGCUUCGAUACUAAUUGUUAGCGAAAGUGGGCAGUGGAUACUUAUAACCUGAACAGCCAAUGUAUCCAAGAAUCAGAUCAAGCUGCUUAUUUUACAAGCUUUGUUGGACCAUCCUGGCAUUCAAUACUUCUAGAUCUUCCAUGAGCCUCAUCUUCUCCCACAUAUUGCUUCUUGGAUGUGAAAAGGAAUACCCGAGUCCUCUUCUAUAUCCAUAUAGCACUCCUCCCAUAUAUCGCUUCUUGGAUGUGAAGAGGGCGUGUAGAGUCCUAUUCUAUAUCCAUGCAUGCUUCACAAGCCUGGGACAUCAGUGGUGGAAUAGAGAAAUUGGCUGAGAAAGGGAAAAGGAUGGAGGGAAUUCUCUUAUCUAUUUAUAUUAUUUU
rnacentral:lncRNA from 1 species